AAGGUCUUUCCAUUAUUAAAGAUCUAUUUUGAUAUUAAAAUAUGAAAAAUCAGUUUAAAAUGUUAGUUCCUAUGGCUUUAUGAUGUAUUAAUAUGAAUUUGAAGCAAAGGUCAAAAUCUAGAACGUCCUAUUAACCUAUGACCUUGACCUCAAUUUCAAGGUCACAAACCAAGGACCUUAAAUCACAAGACCCUAGAUCUUUAAUAUGUUUGGUUAAUGAGUAAUACCACUUUACGCGUAAUUCUAAAUGUAAGAUGGACAAAAACUCCCAUUUAUUGUAUGCGAACCCUUUCAACCAAAAUAUACAAGCAAGGACAUGUCGCAACUAACAAUUUAGGAAAAAAUAUUUGUCGAUAUGUCUUAUGGUAUUUGAAAAUAAGUGAAAAUAAGCCAAAAUCAAUUUUUAGAAUAUGACCUUGACCUUUGACCUUGACCUUAUUUUCAUUUUUUUGGACCAAGGAUCUCAAAUCAAGAGACCCUAGGUCUCUAUCACUUAUGGUUUACCAGUUAGAAACGCAUAUCACCUAUAUCAAAUACAUAAGGGGGAAUAACUCUCAUAUGGAGUCUCCGGAUAGCUUCGGUCAAAACUAAAAUCCUAAUUCUGAAGAUGUAACGAGCAAUUUGGUAAAAUAAAUUUGUCGUAAUCUUUUACGGUUGCGAAGGAGUAGUGGCCACAAGAAAAACAGUGUUUGGGGAGAUAACUCUUACAAUGUAAAGUAUUUUGUUACGCGGUUGUAAAUUUUUAAAGCGUAUAAACUAUACGAUAUCAUAUUCCAAAUAUCUAAGCGACAUCUUUUGAAAUAUCAAUGCUACGCAAGAAAAGAAUUAGGCGGAAGAAAAAAAAAAUAAUAAUAAUAAUUAAAAACCAAUUGUUCAGAGAACAAUUGAAGGUCUUUCCACCAG
rnacentral:lncRNA from 1 species